GGACCCGAGGCGACGCAGGUGUUCGUGUGCGGCAAGUUGGAGACGUUCAAGGAGAUCGUGCGGCCGCUGAAGCAGACAGACACCGCACAGCGAGCCGCGCUCCUCGCCGAACGAAGGUGGCUGAAAUAGAUGUUGGUUGAGGAAGGGUCAGCGAGUGAUAAUAUGGCAUCUAGGGGAACACAUCGAAGUAACCUGGACUGAGGCACCAUACACUGAAGAACUGUUUGGUAUCUGGACUCUGGCCAAAUGAGUGAACAAAUCAUUAUGAUGGAUAAGAGGUCAACUUCUGUUUUUAGGCACCAUACACCGUAGUCUGGAAAAUUUCAGAGAUCAAUCCUCAGGGUGGAGCUUGAUUAAAGUUUCUUCUCUGAAAGAAAAUUCAGACAUUGAUGAUUGGUAUUGAUCAGAUUUUUACAGAAGUCAAUCAUGUCCUGUUUGCAAGCGCUUCUGUUGCACAAGUUCAGGCCACCACAACACAUGAUGGGGAAAGUUGCUGUUGAGAGAACGAGAACUUGACAGGAGCAAAAAGAUAUGAGAGGGUAAACACUCAUGUUGGAAUUGGACUACAUUGAGUAGGGUAGCACGAGCCACAUUAGAGGUUGACAGCUACAGAACGGGUCGACGAAUAAGGAAAAGAGGAGGGUGGGAAGAUUGGUUCUCACGAGACGAAGAUGAAGAAUAUCUCUAACCGGGAGAAAGAGAACCAAUGAAAACACGAGAUAGAUCAAAGAAGCGAGAGAAUGCCGUCAUGGUUCUUGCGUUAUGUUUGAUGUUCAACUCAACAUAAUAUCAUUAGCUACAUUUACGAAAUAAAUAUUCAUGUGAUUGUUUUGU